AGGCCGACGUGGCGGCGGCUUCAGAGGACACCAAACGGCUGUACCGGGAGUACCGGGAGCUGAAGCAGCGCUCGGAGCUCACAGAGCAGAGCCCUGCGGCACAGCAGGACUCGGGCUGCUGGGGGUCGCACCUGAACCGGCAGCCGAAGCUCCCCGGGAUGCGGCAGCAACCAGCAGCAGCAGCAGCAUCGGCGCAGCUCUACGGGAUGAGGCUGAAGGCCAACCUGGGCACGGCCAUACAGGAGGAGGCGCCGUCGGCGGUGAAGAGGAGCCUGGACUGCAGGAGGAAAAUCGCGGCUCCACGGCGCCGCGCCGCCUCCCCGAGCACCGAUGGCGAC